ACGGCCCCCGGUGGGAACGCACUCGCUGCAUCUCUUUCGGGUUCCUGGGGGACGGGAAAGGACAGGAGGGGCCCGAGGGCAGGGAGCAGCAGACACUGAGCUGCAGGUGUUUCCUCUUUCUGUUUCUGAUCGCCCAGAAACCUGUUUUAGGGACCUGAAGGAGGGCGAGUUCCCCAAAGAGAAGUCUGCAUCAGAGAAAAGCUAACAGCCCACGGGGCCUAGGGAGCCUGAAGCCAACGCUGAUGUGACAAGGGUUUGCUGUUUUAACGAAGACGUUCCAUUGUGAUAAGAAAAGUACCAGGCCAGCUAACUGGGUGAAGCACCCCAGCCGGCCAUUUGCCCUCAGGCCAGUGCCCCUCCUUGGAGCUGCGGGGGCAGAUCCCCUGCGCCCCGGGGGGCGAUUUUGCUGGUGACCAGUUCGUGCGCGAGGUCGUCGUUCUCUUGUUCCAACCUCAUGCUGGCCUCCUGCAAUCGCCGGUUCUCCCUCUGCAGAAAAAGAGCAACAGCCGGAGGCGGGCGUUAGCGCCGGGCCUGCGGCCGCCGCCGCCGGGGCUGGUGAGGAGCAGCAAGCAGCAACAGCGAGUGAACUGGAAGGUGUGGAAGGCGAGGGCGCAGUGGCACAGGAAGGCGGGACGGCUGUCGGGGAAACAACGAUUUACGCCCCUAACGGCGUUUUCUGCGAGGCUGGCAAAAACUCAGGCAAAGCAGUGGUGCACGACCAGGAGACAACCUACGCCCUGGAAGAGAGCGCAUCGCAGGGCGCUGUGUGGCUAAGAAGCGAAUGGCAAGGACAAAGCCUGCGACUUUCACGGAGGCGGAGGAUCCAAACAAGGCCAGCGAGGAAGCAAAAGGACGAACUUGUACUAUCACCAGCCGACAGGGCACAUUUCAGUCUUUUCUUUCGGAGAAGGUAGACUGAGAAAAACAUUUUUCAAGCAUGGAUUCACGUAUCUUGACUUCUUUGAAUGAGGAAGGGCCCAACACAGUAAGAAAAGGGGAGCUUUUUUCCCCCCCCAGGUAAGAAGGUUAGCAUAAUUAAAUUCUUCACUAGUCAAGUUAAAAAACAAAAUGUGAUAUUGCACUAAAUUACAUCACGAGACGUGGGGAUGGCGAAUAACGCAAGUACAAUUCAGCUUUACUUCGGAUC